ACUCUUCCGGGAUUAGAGCACAAAUUUGGCAAGCAAAAGGCAAUCGCACGUUUAGCUUCAGGUUCAAGUGAAUCGAAAUUCGUAGAAUCAACGGAUACACUGAGAUAAUCGCACGUCACUGGUGAAGUGGACGUGUCUCAAGUAAAUCGGAAUCAACGGAACUUACAACAACUCAAAGACAAUCGCGCACACUGCACGGAGUGAACUUUCCUCCAACUGAAGCAGGAUCUAUUUGUUGCAAUCAUUAGGCUUGCAAACGAAGACAGCCGAACAGAAAACGCUCGUUCGAAAUUGGCUCGUUCAAAACCUAAAGUGGCCCCGUAAAGGGGUUCUUUUGCUCAAUUUUGAUUCCGGCUCAGGAGGUGUUCACGUGAACACGCGAGGACGAGAGAAGCUUUCCAGCGAAUUGAGGAGUCCCUCUGGAUAGCGAACGGGAAAGCGGACUGCGCAAAGACACAUGGAACGGCCUCCCGGACACCAAACAUAGUAGCACUGCUGUGAGUAAAUGGUUUUAAGAAUAAGUACAUAAUAAGAUGAGAGGCGAGUAGAAAGGCAUGCCGGAGUAGAGUGAAGGAAGAAGCAGGGUGAGAAGAGAGAGAGAAGAAGAAAUAGGAAGCGAUAGAAGAGUUCUUGGGAAUAAACAUG